rnacentral:rRNA from 1 species
CCUACGGGUGGCAGCAGUGGGGAAUAUUGCACAAUGGACGAAAGCCUGAUGCAGCAACGCCGCGUGAGCGAUGAAGGCCUUCGGGUCGUAAAGCUCUGUCCUCAAGGAAGAUAAUGACGGUACUUGAGGAGGAAGCCCCGGCUAACUACGUUCCCACAGCCGCGGUAAUACGUAGGGGGCUAGCGUUCUCCGGAAUUACUGGGCGUAAGGGGUGUGUAGGUGGUUUCUUAAGUCAGAGGUGAAAGGCUAGGGCGCAAACGGAGUAAGCUUUUGAAAUUGGGUAACGUGAGUGCAGGAGAGGAGAGUGGAAUUCCUAGUGUAGCGGUGAAAUGCGUAGAUAUUAGGAGGAACACCAGUUGCGAAGGCGGCUCUCUGGACUGUAACUGACACUGAGGCACGAAAGCGUGGGGAGCAAACAGGAUUAGAUACCCUUGUAGUC